rnacentral:rRNA from 1 species
GCUACGGGUGGCUGCAGUGAGGAAUAUUGGUCAAUGGGCGGAAGCCUGAACCAGCCAAGUCGCGUGAGGGAUUAAGGCCCUGCGGGUCGUAAACCUCUUUUGCCGGGGAGCAGUGGUCCGGACGCGUCCGGACCGGGAGAGUACCCGGAGAAAAAGCAUCGGCUAACUCCGUGCCAGCAGCCGCGGUAAUACGGAGGAUGCGAGCGUUAUCCGGAUUUAUUGGGUUUAAAGGGUGCGUAGGCGGGCAUUUAAGCCGGCGGUCAAAUGUCGGGGGUCAACCAUAGAAUUGCCGUUGAAACAGGGGGGCUUGAGGAUGUUUGAGGCAGGCGGAAUGCGUGGUGUAGCGGUGAAAUGCUUAGAUAUCACGCAGAACCCCGAUUGCGAAGGCAGCCUGCCAAGCCAUGACUGACGCUGAUGCACGAAAGCGUGGGGAUCAAACAGGAUUAGAUACCCUUGUAGUC